rnacentral:rRNA from 1 species
UGGGGAAUAUUGGACAAUGGGGGCAACCCUGAUCCAGCCAUGCCGCGUGUGUGAAGAAGGCCUUUUGGUUGUAAAGCACUUUAAGCAGUGAAGAAGACUCCAUGGUUAAUACCCAUGGACGAUGACAUUAGCUGCAGAAUAAGCACCGGCUAACUCUGUGCCAGCAGCCGCGGUAAUACAGAGGGUGCAAGCGUUAAUCGGAAUUACUGGGCGUAAAGCGAGCGUAGGUGGCUUGAUAAGUCAGAUGUGAAAGCCGCGGGCUGAACCUGGGAACGGCAUCUGAUACUGUUAGGCUAGAGUAGGUGAGAGGAAGGUAGAAUGCCAGGUGUAGCGGUGAAAUGCGUAGAGAUCUGGAGGAAUACCGAUGGCGAAGGCAGCCUUCUGGCAUCAUACUGACACUGAGGUUCGAAAGCGUGGGUAGCAAACA